CCUACGGGAGGCAGCAGUAGGGAAUCUUCCGCAAUGGACGAAAGUCUGACGGAGCAACGCCGCGUGAGUGAUGAAGGCUUUCGGGUCGUAAAACUCUGUUGUUAGGGAAGAACAAGUACGAGAGUAACUGCUCGUACCUUGACGGUACCUAACCAGAAAGCCACGGCUAACUACGUGCCAGCAGCCGCAGGUAAUACGUAGGUGGCAAGCGUUAUCCGGAAUUAUUGGGCGUAAAGCGCGCGCAGGCGGUUUCUUAAGUCUGAUGUGAAAGCCCACGGCUCAACCGUGGAGGGUCAUUGGAAACUGGGGAACUUGAGUGCAGAAGAGAAAAGCGGAAUUCCACGUGUAGCGGUGAAAUGCGUAGAGAUGUGGAGGAACACCAGUGGCGAAGGCGGCUUUUUGGUCUGUAACUGACGCUGAGGCCGCGAAAGCGUGGGGAGCAACAGGAUUAGAUACCCUGGUAGUCCACGCCGUAAACGAUGAGUGCUAAGUGUUAGAGGGUUUCCGCCCUUUAGUGCUGCAGCUAACGCAUUAAGCACUCCGCCUGGGGAGUACGGUCGCAAGACUGAAACUCAAAGGAAUUGACGGGGGCCCGCACAAGCGGUGGAGCAUGUGGUUUAAUUCGAAGCAACGCGAAGAACCUUAC
rnacentral:rRNA from 1 species